AAACAAUAUUUUAAUGUGCUCAGGAGUAUAUAGGAAUACUUCACAUACACACAAAAAGAGACAUUUUCAUUUUUUUUAUAUUUAAUUUCCUUUAAACCAAAUCUGACAGUUUUGGCUCCAUAAUUUAAAAAAUAAAAAUAUAUAUUUAUAUAUAUUUAUAAAAAAAGAAACAAAAUAAACUUUUCCUGAUGACACAAUCCUAUUGUAAUGGAGAUGAGAUAGAAGUUUAAAGGAUUUGUUACAAGUAAAAAUUAGAUAUUGCAUAUUAUAACAGAACGGAUUGAGUUCUUGAUAGCCUGGCAUAUGAUUGUUAAAUAUUGCACAAAUUUACGGAUUAAAAUGUACAAAUAACUGAGAAGAUUAAACUUUUUACAGAAAUAACUACCCAAUAUACGUAUUCCUGUGCUUGAUACUGGAAACGUAAAUCAUAAGUGAGAUUAUUUAGCUACCGAGCCUAUUAGUAUGCAUUAAACAAUCUUCAGUUAUUGCAUAGAUCGAUAUAUUUUUAAAUGUGAUGGAACAACUCACGCAAGCACUCUCAAUUUAGGCACAAAAAUGAUUUUAAAUAAACAGAAAUCAUAAAUUUCCAUCAGAAAUACCCAAUCAUCUAUUCAGUUUUCCAAUAUUAAUAAUAUAAAAUCUCUUUCUAGAAUUCAAGCUGUUGGUGGGAAAAUGGCAGCAUUGUUAUAAUAUUAUUGCAUUACAUUUAAAAAGACGGGUACUUUAGACACAAAAUAAAGAUUGCUUUCCCAUAAUAAUAUAUUUACAUCAAAAACAGAAUUCUGCAAAGGCAUUGGUUUGUUGCGAUUAAAAAAAAAAAAAACUAUAAAAUGUGCAUUUUUCUGUAGAACCAGAGAAGAAAAUUAUUUCUGAGAGAUGUGACAUUCAAGUGCUGAGGUACCUGUGGAGGGAAAAAUACACAAAUUAUUCCCAGAAAUUUGCAAAGCAUACAAUAUGGAAAUACAAAUUUCUCAGUGUUAUAUCAAUAAAAAGAACUGUGUUAUCAGCAUUAAUCACAACUGUAUGUAGACACUGAACAUGCAUGUUUCAGUAGAAAGGCCCUGUAAUCACAUUAUAAGAUUUAUAAGCUAAGAAACUAACCUAAAUACAAUCAAAU